rnacentral:lncRNA from 1 species
CCACAGGGUCCCAGGCCAGCAUCACUAUCCAGGAGCUUCAGGCAUGCUCCGUGUACCAACAUGGGAUCACGAAUCACAUCGCCUCAGGCCAAGAAAGCCAUUUUAUAGCGAAAGAGCCUUAGGAUCUGCUGGAUUAGAGCCUGUUUCCCAGGUAGGAACGCUUCCACGAGGGCACUCCUGCUGGUUGCAGGAAGGAUACCUCUGCUGAGCCUGAAUCUGCAAAGACCACCAGGUUACUCUCAGCUCCUCAUACUGGUGGACCAGCAGGCCACAAAGGAGGGGAUACUUGAUCCUGAUAAACGGUGAGGAGGUAGCGUGGCUGCUGCGUAACGGGGCAAGCAGGCAUUGAUCUGGCACUUAGAGGAUUCAUCUAGGUCUGUCUUGGUGCUUCCAUGCCAAGUAAUGACAAUGAAAAGGUCUUUUCAGCAGCCAUAGCCCCUAAGGGCUCAGAUGCCUCAGGGUGAAGGUCUGGGCGGCGUCACCAGGCAAGCCAUGGAGACAAGCUGGAAUGCUGGUGAGGGUGAGGCCAAGGAGGAGGUGGCUGCUGAAUAUCUGUUACUUGGGAGAAGCUGUAGCAGUGGGGAUUGUAUUUGUUCUGCUAAGCCUCUUGUAUUAAGGCUUUCAUAGGAGUUGUAACUAGCCUUUACUUUGAAGAAUUGUGACAGAGUAGACUCAAUAUUGUAGCUGACUAGCUCUGAGGGGGGCAGGAGAUGGUGUCUUGGCUGAUGCCCUCAGCCCACCUUUAACUGCAGUGGACACAGAGCUGCAUCUCUGCUGUGUGUCUUUGCACUUCCUGCUCCAGGCCUUCUCUGACACCAUGGCGGCCCCCUGAGCCUGUGCCGAGAUUGUGCCACUGCACUCCAGCCUGAGUAACAGAGCUAAACUCCAUCUCAAAAAAAAAAAAAAAAAAAAAAAAAAAAAAAAAAAGGCGAGGGGAAUACAUACAGGAAUGGACUGUGAGGAUACAAAGCCAAGAAUGAAUUGUAGGUUAGUGCAAAUUUAUCAACAUGAGUGCACUUCAAAGAGAAUCUUUGAUUCCGUAUUUUGGCUCAAGGCCUGGGAGUAGUUAUGACCGUGCCUGGGUGGCUGAAUGAAGCCUGGACUCCUUGGUGGUUUACAUUGAUGGGAAGAUGAGAAUGUGGAGUGGAUUUGUGAUGUAUGUGACAUGACCUGGCUGCCACUGUCCUCUCUCUAUCCCUUCAUUAGACCGUUGUGUAAUUUAAAAAAAUAGGUUAUAAAUUUCUUUUCAAGGUAGUAAAGGGGUACAAUCAACAACCCAUGGAACGGGAGAAAGUAUUUGCAAAUCAUGUAUCUGAUAAGGAGUUAAUAUCCAAAAUGUAUAAGGAACUUACAAAACUCAAUAGCAAAACACCAAAUAACCCAAUUUAAAAAUGUGUAAAGGACCUGAAUAGACAUUUCUCCAAAGAAGACAUGCAAAUGACCAGCAGGUAUAUGAAAGGGGCCCAACAUCACUAAUCAAGGAGAUGCAAACACCACAACGAGAUAUGACAACAACGCGAUCCACCUCGCACCUCUUAGUUUGGCUAUUAUAUUAAAAAAAAAACAAAGGCAAGAGAUAACAAAUAUUGGCGAGGAUGUGGAGAAAAGAGAACCCUUGUAUACUGUUGGUGAAAAGGUAGAUUGGUACAACCAUUAUGGAAUACAGUAAAAAGUUAAAACAGAACUACCAUGCAAUCCAGCAAUCCCACUUCUGGAUGUAUAUCCAGAGGAAAUGAAAUCAGUAUCUUGGAGGAUAUCAGCACCAGCUUAUUCAUUGC